rnacentral:tRNA from 1 species
GAGGGUGUAGCUCAGUUGGUUAGAGUACCUGCUUGACAUGCAGGGGGUCGACGGUUCAAGUCCGCCCAUCCUCA